rnacentral:rRNA from 1 species
UACGAAGGGUGCAAGCGUUACUCGGAAUUACUGGGCGUAAAGCGUGCGUAGGUGGUUCGUUAAGUCUGAUGUGAAAGCCCUGGGCUCAACCUGGGAAUGGCAUUGGAUACUGGCGACCUAGAGUGCGGUAGAGGGGUGUGGAAUUGCCGGUGUAGCAGUGAAAUGCGUAGAUAUCGGGAGGAACAUCUGUGGCGAAGGCGACACCCUGGACCAGCACUGACACUGAGGCACGAAAGCGUGGGGAGCAAACAGG